rnacentral:lncRNA from 1 species
ACACACUUUUCCAAAUUUUAAGAGUUUGAAAUUCCGUUUCAGUUGUCUAGAAUUCUCUUUCUACCAUUUAGCCUGGUUUACAUUUAACUAAACUUCCUUAUCUAACUUUCUUGCCACCUUCUCUAGGAAGCUCGCAUUAAACUACUCUGGCAAACUUAUUAUUUCUAUAGCAACACUUGGUACAUAUCUCAAUUAUGGCACAUAUUGACCUAUAUUGUAUUACCCAUUUUACUUUUAUGUCUCUCUGAUGAGAUUUUGAGUUCCCUGGGAGUUAGAACCCUUGUUUAUCUCCAGUGAUUAACACAGUGCCUGCUGAAAAUAUUUUUAAAUGAUUCACUAAAUUGAUAAGAUCCUUCCCCUCUCUGGAUCUCAAUAUAUUAUGUGUUUGAUGAAGGGUCUGCAUGAAUUAUCUCUACAAGAUCCUCCCUAGUCUAACAAUUUGAGAUGCUUAAAAUAAAGUGUGACUUUUUUUGCUCCUUGACCAAAUUCAUCACUGACAGGAAGGGGGCGCCAUUUAACAGCUUGUGGAAAAAGAAAGUUUGUAACUGUUCUUACUUUUAUACCAAGAGAUAGUAUUCCUAUUCUAGAUGAAAUUGAAAUGUAUUUCAUAUUCCUCUAUGAGAUGUCAAUUUACUUAACCUUUGACAUUUGAAUUGAGAAUGAAGCCAAGGAUACAUUAUCUAAGCUCCAUGAUCUCCAAGAUAGAAGCACUGAGCAAAAGGAGAUCAACAUUGGUGUAUGAGGGUGAUACUGUUGACCUGGGUUCAGCACAACAUACAGGCCACAAGUGAGUUUUGAAUAGUCUUGAUGAAUAGGUUCUGAGAACUCUCACUCUUGGUCUCCCCUGGGGCCAGUUGAGUAUAAUUUGAGGUUGAUUGAGGUAAAGGAUAUAAUUCGUAUCUGAAGAAGCAGAGAUUUUGCCUUGUUCAUGCUAACUUGCCCAUAUGGGCCAUAAACUUGAUUAUAUUAACAUUGGACUUACAAUAAUUAAGCUAACGAGGUCAAUUGUCUAUACUGCCAUAGUGUAGACUUUAUAAAUAUAUAGUGGAGUUACAUAGUCUACCUGGCUAUUUUAUAGAGUUAUAAAAUCUUGGAGCUGGAAAAUAUCCUUAGAAACAUUCUAGCUCCUCUACUCUGCAAAUGAGACAAUGCUAAUGAGAAAGAGAGGAACUUCCCAUGGCUCAUGCCAGCACUACAGCUGAAAUCUAAGCCUCUUGCUUCCCAGAUAGGAGGU